UACGUAGGGUGCAAGCGUUAAUCGGAAUUACUGGGCGUAAAGCGUGCGCAGGCGGUUUUGUAAGACAGGCGUGAAAUCCCCGGGCUUAACCUGGGAAUGGCGCUUGUGACUGCAAAGCUGGAGUGCGACAGAGGGGGAUGGAAUUCCGCGUGUAGCAGUGAAAUGCGUAGAUAUGCGGAGGAACACCGAUGGCGAAGGCAAUCCCCUGGGCCUGCACUGACGCUCAUGCACGAAAGCGUGGGGAGCAAACAGG
rnacentral:rRNA from 1 species